rnacentral:lncRNA from 1 species
CCUUUCGAUACAAUCAAAUAGAAAGCCCCGAGGGCGCCAUAUUCUAGGAGCCCAAACUAUGUGAUUGAAUAAAUCCUCCUCUAUCUGUUCCGGGUCGAGGACUGCUUCUCCUUCCCCUUCUUCAAACUCCGAUUCGUAUUUUUCAUAGAGAAAUCUCUGAUCAACGAUAGAACAAGAUCCAUCUUGCAUCAUAUAUAAGGGAUCCCUUGGUUCGGAGCGAAAAAGCAAUGUCACUCGAUCAUUAUCAAACUGACUGCAAUCUUUUUCUGUCCGUGAGGAUCCCACCAAAGCGCCUUGCACUUCUAAUAGGCCAUGAAAUAGAUCCGAAUCAUUCUCAAUGAAUCCAUAAGAAGUGAUCCUAUUUUUUUCAUCGGGUCCGGGUAGAGACCAAAGGUCUUGAGCGACCGAUCCGGCAGAACAACUCAAAAGAUAAAGAAGUAUCGUGAAUUUCUUCAUGCUCGUUCCAAGUUCGAAGUACCAUUUGUACAAAUAAGAAUCCCCUUCGUUACAUGAUUUCUUCUUCAUAUAGAUAGAUAUAGGAUCUAUGGGGCAAUUACUUAUAAGUACAUUUUGUGCAACAACCCUUCCUAUCUGAUAGAAAAGGAUCCCAUGAUCCUGAACCGAUCUUACCUGGGAUCGCAAAUCCCAAGUUUGUCUAUGAAGAGCAGAUCUAAUUGUAUUAGUGUCUAUAAUUGAUUUCUUCUGUGUAAUACUAAUUGAUAAGGCCUCAUUGGUAAGUGCUACAAGAUCUCGUGCACUGGAACCCAUGGUUAUGGACUCGAAUCCAUUAGUAUGGAACAUUUUCUUUUCCAAGUGAAAUCCCCUAGUAUAGGNNNNNNNNNNNNNNNNNNNNNNNNNNNNNNNNNNNNNNNNNNNNNNNNNNNNNNNNNNNNNNNNNNNNNNNNNNNUAGGAAAGAGUGAAAAAGUGCUUUCGUUGUUGUGGAAUAAGAAGCCUUCUUAUUUUAAUGCAUGUAUUUAAUUUAUUCGGGGCUAUUAGAGCGGGAUCCACUUUUUGGGGAAUAUGAGUCGAAGCAAUAACAAGACUAUUUCUAGUCGAACAUCUUUCACAAUCCCUGGAGAGAGAGUUCACCAAGAGACCGAGGGCUAAGUAAUUCGACUCAUUCACAUCAAGAUCAUGAAUGUUUGGAAUCCAUAUUAUGCAAGGAGACAUUGCUUUUGCUAAUUCGAAUUGAAGGGUGAUAUAAAAUCGGUCUAUUUCCGACAUCAUAUCCAUAGUUAGCGCAUUCAUCAUAGUUAGAAGCUCCAGCUCCGUAUCAAGUUCACGAUCAAUAUCGUUACUAGCAUCAAUAUCGUCACUAUCAUCAAUAUCGAUAUCAUCAAGAAAAAAACCUUUCGGCUUGUUAUCCAGGAACUUGUUCAGACAUACUGUAAUGAAAGGAACAUAGGAGUUUGUCGCUAGGUAUUUGACCAAAUAGGAUCGUCCGGUUCCUAUAGAACCUAUCACUAAAAUACUCCUAGAGGGGGAUAGGGCUAAGCGGAGCGAAAAGGGUUUUCCAUGAGACGGGAAAUGAAAACUAUUAGCCCCACACGAAGUUUGUGAAUAAGUGAUUGUCUGAUAAUGAGCAAGGAAUAUCCGUCUUUCUGCUAAACAGGAUGUAUUGAACUCAUAAUUCAUUAGAUACUUUUUAUGAAUGUCAACUAAGUAUCGUAAGUAAAUUGUUCCCGGUUGUUCAAUCAUUUGAUAACCAGAGUCAUUCUUUGAUAAAUGAUCACUAUGAGUCAGACUCAAUAGAAUUUGAUCAAUCCUUUUUUCUGCCCUUAAGGUGGAGAACUGAACCAAGAAUUCUCUUUCUUUAUCAUCAAUCGAAUCACUGUUCGCGACCCAGGAUUCUAUUUUAUCAUCAAUCCAAUCACCGCUCACGUUUUUUCUUUUUCUUAUCAAUGAAUAGAUGUCUUUACUUGUAUGACUUAGAUGUCUCGUAUUUCUCGAAAAAGUGAUUCGAUUGAUGGGAUUUGGUAUGAUACUUAUGAGAUCGAUGAUAUCGAUGAAGUUUAUUUUCAAAUCUGUCUUCUUAGAACGUAUUGAUUUGACCCCAUAAGCGGGAUCACCACCCCAUAGCAUGUUGCCGCCAGAACCCCGUAUUUCUUCUAGACAAUCUCCUAAUUGUUCCAGAGCAACUAGAAAAAGAUUCUUUAACCAGAAAGAAUUCUGUUCAGAUGUAGGAUACCUAUCCAGAAGUUUUCGCAACUCAAUCAUGUAUGAUGGAAUCAUCAAAGAUUUGAUCUUUUCGAACUCUGUCUGUAACUCACUAUAGGCUCGGGAAACAAAGAGAAGAUGUGUACGAACGAUAUAUCCAGCAACAAGAAGAAGGAAAAGGAUUGAAUAGAGGACCUCACGAACAUUUGGCGAUCUCAGAUGUGUCGAUAUCAACGAUGACUCAUUAUUUCGAUGAAUCAUUUCUUCGGACAGAAGAAGAUUAUGUAAAGACUUACUCGAAAUCUCACUUAUCAGAUUCCUUUGUGGAAGACACAAUUUUUUCUGAAGAAUUCGCCAUGAUAUAUCUAAUCCAUACAUAAUAUCAUGAAAAAUGGAUACAAAUUUUUGACUGCUACUUAGUAUCCGCAAUAGGUCUGAAAAAAUAUCUAAAAAUAUCAAAUUUAGAUAUUUGUACCCUGUCGAAGUAAAGAACCAUGGCAUAUAUGUUUGGAAUAGAUUCCAUUUUGAGAGAGUUGAAAAAGCACUAUCUCGUUGAAAGGUUCUAUCCAUCUGCCCUUUGUCAACGCAUUUUUUUAGGCAAAGACUCCGUUUUUUCCUCUGUAAAUAUUUCUCAGAACAUGGAGUGUGAAUCAAACCCACGUUUGAAUUGAAAUUGAGAUACUGAUGCAAGCUCUUCUCUUCUGAAUCGGAUAGAUUCAUAUCUGAAAGAGUUUGACAAUACGUUCUUUCCAAAUUUACUCUUUGUCCCUCUAUUAGAGGUGUUCCAGAAAUGUCUGCAAUCGAGUAAAUAGCUCUACGAACUAAUGGAUCGGAUCGAAUUGGAAAAUGGAAAGAUUUGUACAAGUUAUACCUUUCGUCACCACUUUGUGGAAAAUCGUUAGAUAUGAAUAUGUUAGAUACCUGUGACUCGAUUGACGAAGGUGAAAUAGUAUCUCUCUCCAAAAAAGCAUGUUUUUUUUUACCACCACACGAAGAAAAUAUUUUGUUGUGAAUGAACAAGAUAGUGAGGAAUUGUCCAUACGUAAAAUCAGAAUUAUUGAGACGGGCCUUUUCCACAUAAAAAGGGAAUCUUUUGUUACAAUAGAAGCAGAAGUGAUGUGGAUUAUUCAAGAAUCGAAGUCGAUUUGCUUUAGAAAAAGAAGAUAUCAAUGAACUUCUCUGAAAUGGUUUCACGGGAUUCAGCCAAUUGUCUUGAUCGUGGGAUACGAUUGAGAAAUAGGAAUCCGUGUUAUCAAAAGAUUUCCUGCGAUUCUUUCUAGUAUGGAAUGAGUCAAUCAUCCACUUUGGUAUCUUAUUGAACAAAAAUGGUGAUAUUGUUCCUCCAUUGAUCAAGAAUUUCGAUUUUUGAGAAGUAUUAUGAUCAUCCAAUAAAAAGGGUUUCAAUUUUUUAAAAUGAACGAUUUGAAGACCUAUUGAUUCUAACAACUGAUUGCAGGGUUGAUCGUUCGGACCUUUCAAUUCAUAGAUGUGGAUCUCAGACCUAUGAAUGGGGAUAUUCUCGAAACUCACAAAGAAAAAAGGAAGUGAGUUAGACAAAAAGAGAAGUAACUUGGACAAAAAACGAAGUAACUUGGACAAAAAGAAACGAAGUGACUUAGACAAAUCUUUUUUAUCAAUAACCUCAGACCAAUCAAUCGAAUAUUGAUUAAUACAUAAUCGAUCGAACACUACUUGAAAACGGCUCUUCCGCUCAGAAACGAAAUGUUUCAAAUGCUCCUGGAAAUUCUUGCUCCCAUUGGACCAUUUGUAUCUAUAUGCAUUAGGAUCCCGAUUUAUGGAUCUCUCGGUUCGAGAAAGAAAAAUAAGAGGAUCGAACCAUUUCUUCUGACUCUUUUUCAAAUUCGAUAAAUGUUGGUUGAUCGUAUCUUUCAUUAUAGUUCUAUGAUUCAGAGUAUCAUUUCCUAUUAGAUCCCUUUGAAUUCCAUAUUCGAAGUUGCGAUCAGGUCUCUUCAUUAAAAAGAAUCGAUUCAAUACAUUUCUUAUGUACCCAUAGGGACUAUAUUGGAAUUGGAUUUGAAUCAGAUUUCGGAUCAAUCUAUAUUGAUUGACUGCCUCCAUUAUGUUGUUGCUAGCAAAUACCACUCUUUUUGGUUUUGGAUCUUCAAAAAAAUUCCCGCAGGAGAUCCGGACCCAAUUUUUUCUGAUCCUUCGAUAAAAAGAUUCAUUUUCUUCAUAAAAAAUAGGAGGUAGAACCAAUAAAGAUUUCUUUUUCAAUUCAUCCCUGGAGUUGAAAACCUCCUUCAAGAAUUGUCUUUGAUCCAAUCCGUAGGAAUCAAUAGAAAAGGCAAAUCCCUUAUGAUACACCAGAUCCGGCUCGGUUAUUGAUAGAGUGAAUAGAUCUGCCAUUUCUUGAAAUCUCUCUUCUGACUCAAAAUCGUGGCGUAACGUGUAUCCCCCCCUCUUCCGUUCAUGGAAUAGAUGAAAUAAAUAAAAAAAUGGAUUUUUGUUCAAGAAUGAAAUCUUAUUGGAACUGUCCAUAUCCAGUUCAUCCUUCGGAACCGUAUCACAUCCCAGAUCUGAUGAAAUAGGAUGAAUUGAGACGGUAUUUUGUAAAUACGUAAUUAUCUUGAAUAUAUUAACUAUUUCUUUAUUUUCCGAUCGCCUGGAAGGGACAAAAGAAACAUCUUGUUCUUUCUUCAACAAUUUCUGAUCCCUAGUGGACCUCUCAGUAGGAUUCGAACCCAGAUGAAGUUCUGACCAUCUGUCAGAGAAAAAAGAACGAAUGGCUCUUGUAGAAUUCCAAAAAAAUUCUUCGCUUUCUUCCGGAAGCAGAUGAUUAUUCAUUCGCUUUUCACGUUCCGUGAAUAGCCGGGGCAUUGAG